rnacentral:tRNA from 1 species
AAAGUAGAAGUUUAUAUAAUAUUUGACCUGCAAUCAGAAGAAGACGGUGCCCGUCCUACUUU